rnacentral:rRNA from 1 species
GCACAAGCGGUGGAGCAUGUGGUUUAAUUCGAUGAUACGCGAGGAACCUUACCUGGGCUCAAAUGUAUGUUGACGUAUUCUGAAAGGGAUACUUCUUCGGACAAUAUACAAGGUGCUGCAUGGUUGUCGUCAGCUCGUGCCGUGAGGUGUCGGGUUAAGUCCCAUAACGAGCGCAACCCCUAUCAUUAGUUGCCAUCAGGUCAAGCUGGGGACUCUAAUGAAACUGCCUACGCAAGUAGUGAGGAAGGUGGGGAUGACGUCAAAUCAGCACGGCCCUUACGUCCAGGGCUACACACGUGCUACAAUGGCCGGUACAAAGGGCAGCUACCUGGUGACAGGAUGCUAAUCUCAAAAGCCGGUCUCAGUUCGGAUCGGAGUCUGCAACCCGACUCCGUGAAGUUGGAUUCGCUAGUAAUCGCGCAUCAGCCAUGGCGCGGUGAAUACGUUCCCGGGCCUU